rnacentral:rRNA from 1 species
CAUGCAGUCGGGCGGUAGCACAGAGAGCUUGCUCUCGGGUGACGAGCGGCGGACGGGUGAGUAAUGUCUGGGAAACUGCCUGAUGGAGGGGGAUAACUACUGGAAACGGUAGCUAAUACCGCAUAACGUCGCAAGACCAAAGAGGGGGACCUUCGGGCCUCUUGCCAUCAGAUGUGCCCAGAUGGGAUUAGCUAGUAGGUGGGGUAACGGCUCACCUAGGCGACGAUCCCUAGCUGGUCUGAGAGGAUGACCAGCCACACUGGAACUGAGACACGGUCCAGACUCCUACGGGAGGCAGCAGUGGGGAAUAUUGCACAAUGGGCGCAAGCCUGAUGCAGCCAUGCCGCGUGUAUGAAGAAGGCCUUCGGGUUGUAAAGUACUUUCAGCGGGGAGGAAGGUGUUGUGGUUAAUAACCACAGCAAUUGACGUUACCCGCAGAAGAAGCACCGGCUAACUCCGUGCCAGCAGCCGCGGUAAUACGGAGGGUGCAAGCGUUUAAUCGGAAUUACUGGGCGUAAAGCGCACGCAGGCGGUCUGUCAAGUCGGAUGUGAAAUCCCCGGGCUCAACCUGGGAACUGCAUUCGAAACUGGCAGGCUAGAGUCUUGUAGAGGGGGGUAGAAUUCCAGGUGUAGCGGUGAAAUGCGUAGAGAUCUGGAGGAAUACCGGUGGCGAAGGCGGCCCCCUGGACAAAGACUGACGCUCAGGUGCGAAAGCGUGGGGAGCAAACAGGAUUAGAUACCCUGGUAGUCCACGCCGUAAACGAUGUCGACUUGGAGGUUGUGCCCUUGAGGCGUGGCUUCCGGAGCUAACGCGUUAAGUCGACCGCCUGGGGAGUACGGCCGCAAGGUUAAAACUCAAAUGAAUUGACGGGGGCCCGCACAAGCGGUGGAGCAUGUGGUUUAAUUCGAUGCAACGCGAAGAACCUUACCUACUCUUGACAUCCAGAGAACUUAGCAGAGAUGCUUUGGUGCCUUCGGGAACUCUGAGACAGGUGCUGCAUGGCUGUCGUCAGCUCGUGUUGUGAAAUGUUGGGUUAAGUCCCGCAACGAGCGCAACCCUUAUCCUUUGUUGCCAGCGGUUAGGCCGGGAACUCAAAGGAGACUGCCAGUGAUAAACUGGAGGAAGGUGGGGAUGACGUCAAGUCAUCAUGGCCCUUACGAGUAGGGCUACACACGUGCUACAAUGGCGCAUACAAAGAGAAGCGACCUCGCGAGAGCAAGCGGACCUCAUAAAGUGCGUCGUAGUCCGGAUUGGAGUCUGCAACUCGACUCCAUGAAGUCGGAAUCGCUAGUAAUCGUAGAUCAGAAUGCUACGGUGAAUACGUUCCCGGGCCUUGUACACACCGCCCGUCACACCAUGGGAGUGGGUUGCAAAAGAAGUAGGUAGCUUAACCUUCGGGAGGGCGCUACC